rnacentral:rRNA from 1 species
UACGUAGGGACCAAGCGUUGUUCGGAUUUACUGGGCGUAAAGGGCGCGUAGGCGGCGCGGUAAGUCACUUGUGAAAUCUCUGAGCUUAACUCAGAACGGUCAAGUGAUACUGCUGUGCUAGAGUGCGGAAGGGGCAAUCGGAAUUCUCGGUGUAGCGGUGAAAUGCGUAGAUAUCGAGAGGAACACCUGAGGUGAAGACGGGUUGCUGGGCCGACACGUGACGCUGGAUGCGCGAAAGCCAGGGGAGCAAACGGG